GAUGAACGCUGGCGGCGUGCCUAAUACAUGCAAGUCGAGCGAACAGACGAGGAGCUUGCUCCUCUGACGUUAGCGGCGGACGGGUGAGUAACACGUGGAUAACCUACCUAUAAGACUGGGAUAACUUCGGGAAACCGGAGCUAAUACCGGAUAAUAUAUUGAACCGCAUGGUUCAAUAGUGAAAGACGGUUUUGCUGUCACUUAUAGAUGGAUCCGCGCCGCAUUAGCUAGUUGGUAAGGUAACGGCUUACCAAGGCAACGAUGCGUAGCCGACCUGAGAGGGCGAGCGGAGACAAUGGAACUGAGACACGGUGCAGAGUACAAAGGGAGGCACCAGUAGGGAAUAGUCCGAAAUGGGCGAAAACAUGACUGAGCAACGUCGCGGGAGUGAGGAAGGUCUUCGAAUCGUAAAACUCGGUUAUUAGGGAAGAACAAAUGUGUAAGUAACUAUGCACGGCAGGACGGUAACUAAUCAGAAAGCCACGGCUAACUACGUG
rnacentral:rRNA from 1 species